rnacentral:rRNA from 1 species
UACGAAGGGGGCUAGCGUUGUUCGGAAUUACUGGGCGUAAAGGGUUUGUAGGCGGUUGUUUAAGCUAGUGGUGAAAGCCCGGGGCUUAACCUCGGAAUUGCCAUUAGAACUGGACAGCUUUGAGAGUGUUAGAGGAAAGUGGAAUUCCUAGUGUAGGAGUGAAAUCCGUAGAGAUUAGGAGGAAUAUCGAUGGCGAAGGCAGCUUUCUGGGACAUUUCUGACGUGAGAAACGAAAGCGUGGGUAGCAAACAGGAUUAGAUACCUA